GAUGAACGCUGGCGGCAUGCCUAAGACAUGCAAGUCGAACGAGACGACCUUUGGAAGACUGAGUGCUUGCACAAAGUUAGAAGAAGAUCAUCGUCUAGUGGCAGACGGGUGAGUAACACGUGGGUAACCUACCUUCAAGCUGGGGAUAACGUUUGGAAACGAACGCUAAUACCGAAUAAGAUAUAGCAAUAUAUUGAAAGAAGCCUUUAAAGCUUCACUUAAAGAUGGGCCUGCGGCGUAUUAACUAGUUGGUGAGGUAAUGGCUCACCAAGGUAACGAUGCGUAGCCGAACUGAGAGGUUGAACGGCCACACUGGGACUGAGACACGGCCCAGACUCCUACGGGAGACAGCAGUUAGGAAUAUUCGUCAAUGGGGGAACCCUGAACGAGCAAUAGCCGCGUGAGUGAUGAAGGCCCUAUGGUUGUAAAACUCUAGUCUUCAGUGACGAAUUAAUGACGGUAACUGAGGAGGAAGCC
rnacentral:rRNA from 1 species